rnacentral:rRNA from 1 species
GCGUAACAACCCAUGGAGGCAUCUCCGUGGGUUUAAAGGAAGCGAUUCCGGCUACGGAUGGUCAUGCGUCGCAUUAGCUUGUUGGCGGGGUAACGGCCCACCAAGGCGACGAUGCGUAGGGGUUCUGAGAGGAAGGUCCCCCACACUGGUACUGAGACACGGACCAGACUCCUACGGGAGGCAGCAGUGAGGAAUAUUGGUCAAUGGCCGCAGGGCUGAACCAGCCAAGUCGCGUGAGGGAUGACAGUCCUAUGGAUUGUAAACCUCUUUUGUCAGGGAGCAAAGGGCGCCACGUGUGGCGUUUUGCGAGUACCUGAAGAAAAAGCAUCGGCUAACUCCGUGCCAGCAGCCGCGGUAAUACGGAGGAUGCGAGCGUUAUCCGGAUUUAUUGGGUUUAAAGGGUGCGCAGGCGGAAUGUCAAGUCAGCGGUAAAAUUUCGGGGCUCAACCCCGUCGUGCCGUUGAAACUGGCGUUCUUGAGUGAGCGAGAAGUAUGCGGAAUGCGUGGUGUAGCGGUGAAAUGCAUAGAUAUCACGCAGAACUCCGAUUGCGAAGGCAGCAUACCGGCGCUCAACUGACGCUCAUGCACGAAAGCGUGGGUAUCGAACAGGAUUAGAUACCC